GUCUACGGCCAUACCACGUUGAAAGCACCAGUUCUCGUCCGAUCACUGAAGUUAAGCAACGUCAGGCUCGGUUAGUACUUGGAUGGGUGACCGCCUGGGAACACCGAGUGCUGUAGACU
rfam:Lottia gigantea unplaced genomic scaffold LOTGIsca_64, whole genome shotgun sequence.